CUACGGGUCGCAGCAGUGGGGAAUAUUGCACAAUGGGCGCAAGCCUGAUGCAGCCAUGCCGCGUGUAUGAAGAAGGCCUUCGGGUUGUAAAGUACUUUCAGCGGGGAGGAAGGGAGUAAAGUUAAUACCUUUGCUCAUUGACGUUACCCGCAGAAGAAGCACCGGCUAACUCCGUGCCAGCAGCCGCGGUAAUACGGAGGGUGCAAGCGUUAAUCGGAAUUACUGGGCGUAAAGCGCACGCAGGCGGUUUGUUAAGUCAGAUGUGAAAUCCCCGGGCUCAACCUGGGAACUGCAUCUGAUACUGGCAAGCUUGCGUCUCGUAGAGGGGGGUAGAAUUCCAGGUGUAGCGGUGAAAUGCGUAGAGAUCUGGAGGAAUACCGGUGGCGAAGGCGGCCCCCUGGACGAAGACUGACGCUCAGGUGUGAAAGCGUGGGGAGCAAACAGGAUUAGAUACCCCAGUAGUC
rnacentral:rRNA from 1 species